CUCUUCCUAUCUUUUUAAUGUCCUCCUUAUGUAUUCCCAGUUACCAGUAAAAGAAAUGUACGAAAUUCACCUGCUGGAAAAAAAAAUCCAAAAAAACGACAAAGAAAUUCAAUACUUGGACCUUCAGAUCAGGAGGGUGGAUGUAGAAACUGAAAUACUGGAGCACAAGUUGGAGGUGGGUGCAUGGUCACAGGUGGAUGAUGUGAAUUAUGUGAAGUAUUGGAACAUAAACUAAACUAGCUCUGGUAUUUGUAGGAAAUAAAGAAGACCAAAU